AGGAGAAUCGCUUGAACCCGGGAGGCGGAGGUUAUAGUGAGCCAAGAUGGCGCCACCGCACUUCAGCCUGGCGACAGAGCGAGACCUUGUCUCAAAAAUAAAAAAAUAAAAAUAAAUAAAAAGUUUGUGUGGACGAAUGAAUUACAUCCUUGGGCCUAAGGUAAAAGAACUCAGGUUCUUAUAACUCUGCUGUAAAAGAAGUGCCUAUAGAAUCUUUAUUCUUUUUUAUUAUUAUUAUUUUUUGAGAUAGAGUCGCUGUCGCCCGGGUUGGAGUACAGUGGCACGAUCUCGGCUAACUGCAAGCUCCGCCUCCCG
rnacentral:lncRNA from 10 species